rnacentral:rRNA from 1 species
CAGCGCCACAAGUGGAGAUCAUUAUUAUUGGGCCUAAAGCGUCCGUAGCCGGUUUAAUAAAUCUUCUGUGAAAUUGUUGGGCUUAACCUAACAACGUGCAAGAGAAACUGUUAGACUAGGAAUCGGGAGGAGUUAGAAGUAUUUUAGGGGGAGCGGUAAAAUGCUAUAAUCCCUAGAGGACUACCAGUGGCAAAGGCGUCUAACUAGAACGAAUUCGACGGUGAGGGACGAAAGCUAGGGGAGCGAUCCGGAUUAGAUACCCGAGUAGUCC